rnacentral:rRNA from 1 species
AUUGAACGCUGGCGGCAGGCCUAACACAUGCAAGUCGAGCGGAUGAAGGGAGCUUGCUCCUGGAUUCAGCGGCGGACGGGUGAGUAAUGCCUAGGAAUCUGCCUGGUAGUGGGGGAUAACGUCCGGAAACGGGCGCUAAUACCGCAUACGUCCUGAGGGAGAAAGUGGGGGAUCUUCGGACCUCACGCUAUCAGAUGAGCCUAGGUCGGAUUAGCUAGUUGGUGGGGUAAAGGCCUACCAAGGCGACGAUCCGUAACUGGUCUGAGAGGAUGAUCAGUCACACUGGAACUGAGACACGGUCCAGCCUCCUACGGGAGGCAGCAGUGUGGAAUAUUGGACAAUGGGCGAAAGCCUGAUCCAGCCAUGCCGCGUGUGUGAAGAAGGUCUUCGGAUUGUAAAGCACUUUAAGUUGGGAGGAAGGGCAGUAAGUUAAUACCUUGCUGUUUUGACGUUACCAACAGAAUAAGCACCGGCUAACUUCGUG